UACGGAGGGUGCAAGCGUUGCUCGGAAUUACUGGGCGUAAAGCGCACGUAGGCGGCUUCUUAAGUCGGUGGUGAAAUCCUGGAGCUCAACUCCAGAACUGCCUUCGAUGCUGGGAAGCUCGAGUCCGGGAGAGGUGAGUGGAACUGCGAGUGUAGAGGUGAAAUUCGUAGAUAUUCGCAAGAACACCAGUGGCGAAGGCGGCUCACUGGCCCGGUACUGACGCUGAGGUGCGAAAGCGUGGGGAGCAAACAGG
rnacentral:rRNA from 1 species